rnacentral:lncRNA from 1 species
AUGUUUCCUCGGUGGCCACGUCUGGAGGAUUGGCAGAAUGAAUUUCAUAAGCAAUUGCUGAAGGAGAAAUACGGAUCUGUCAUUACAAUGGGAAGAGACUUGUUCCUUGUUCCCAAAACCCAUAUCCCAGUAGGACAGGCGGCGCAGGUCAAGGAUCCGUGGCAUUUGGAGGGAAAGAAAAUUCCUGCCAGCCUCAGCACAGGCCAUGGCGAUGCCACGAUCCAGGCUGCAGGAGGCACACAGCUGCAUGGAUCAUCCUCAGGAGCAUCCCAGGCCUCCCCCUGCCACUACUUGGACCAGGGGGAACCAUCGGGGAGCCGCCAAAAUCCGGCAACAAACCCGGCCGCAAACCCAGCCAAGCUGACGGGAACAGGGAGCAGCAGCAGUGUGCUGGCAGGGCAGGAGGUGGAUGAGUUCAGGCAGUUCCUGCUGGACCACCAGGGCGAGCCCGAGGACGCGGUGGUGCCGUGGUUCAUCUGCACCGAGUGCGGGAAGAGCUUUGCCCGCCACGCCUACCUGCUGCGGCACCGGCGCGCCUGCCGAGGGCAAAGGCGCCUUCCACGGGCCCCCCGGAGCUCGCUCCUGCCCUCCCUGCCUGCCUGGGCUAGGCACGUGCUGGCAGCUCUCAAAAAUCCUGCUCCGCCCAGAGUUGGGAUUUGAGUGCGUUAGAGUGGAGUUGGGGGGGAUAAGGCAGUUUUCCCAAAUUGAAUCGAGUUCCGGUUCAAUUUGGUGCUGGCCUAAUGGGCGUUGAUUAGGACCUGGAUCAUCGCUGUCAUUCUUACCGUGCUCCAUCCAGCUCCUCCUGGGAGCAGGAGUUGGAUAGAGCAGCAUUGGCUGUACCAAAAUGGGCAUUAAAAAAACGUGGUGCACCAAGCACGUGCUGGAGAGCAUCCAGAGUAGCACAGGGAAACACUGGAAAUCUUCAGGGAUGAAAAAUGGAGAAUUGGGAAUGGGAUUGUAACGUGAUGUUUGAAGCAACCAACCCCAGGCAUUAUUUCCCCACUUUAGCUGCUCUCCCAUUACUGUACCUGUAGAAAUAACUCUAUUUUUGGGUUCUAUUUUUAUACUGACCCCAUGCUUUCCUGUGGGGUGAGAUGCUGCUUUGGUUUCUGAAAUUCUGGGGGGAAAAAAAGCAUGGAUACAUUCUAAAUUGUGUACAGUGUGUCAGUGAUUUUCCUCUGGGAAGUGAAAAUGCAGCAGGGAGAAGGUGAGAGGAGGGGAGGUGGGGGCUGUGGAGGCAGCACAUACAGAUUUUGUGUUUUCUCCCCAUGUGCUGGUGGUUUUCAGCAUUUUUGAAUAUUCCAGUUGAGUGCCAAGAGGGAAAAUGUGUUGCCUCCAGUUGGAGGGGUGUCCUCAGUCACAGACUCCAGCUGGAAUGAAGUCUCUGGGCUCAGCAGCCCCUGAGAAGCAGCAGAGAACACCCAGCUGGUGCUGUGCUGGAGUUCCAGGAGUUCUGUGCAUGGUUGGGAAAAUACACUUGGCCCCAAACCAUGCUGCCCAUCCCAGGUACAGGAAUAAUGUCCCAAAAACCUUUUGGCACUGGAUUCUCAUUGUUUCCUUCUCAUAAGUAAAGUCCUGGGGGUUGGCUUUGCUUUUAUUCCUCAUAGAAUCCCAGAGUGGUUUGGUUUGCAAGGGAGUUUGAGGAUCAUCCUAUUCCCGCCCCACUCUAUGUCAGGGACACCUUCCACUGUCCCAGCUGCUCCCAGCCCUGUCCAGCCUGGCCUUGGACACUUCCAGGGAUCCAGGGGCAGCCACCUCUGGACACCUGUGCCAGUGUAUCUGUGCCUUAGAGGAGUAUUUUAAUGAUUUUAUGAUCAGUAUUAACCUGAUUUCCCAAAGUGGCAGUUUGGAAAGCACCUCUUUUGAAGGCUCAGUGACAUUUGGGGAGCAGCAAGAACCUCAACAGGAACGAAAGAGGAACAAACCUCUGAGAACAAUAAAACUCCUUUGUUCUUUAACCAUCAUCCCUGGGGUAAAACGAAGAAAAAAAAC